UACGUAGGGGGCAAGCGUUGUUCGGAUUUACUGGGCGUAAAGGGCGCGUAGGCGGCGUGGUAAGUCACUUGUGAAAUCUCUGAGCUUAACUCAGAACGGCCAAGUGAUACUGCUGUGCUAGAGUGCAGAAGGGGCAAUCGGAAUUCUUGGUGUAGCGGUGAAAUGCGUAGAUAUCAAGAGGAACACCUGAGGUGAAGACGGGUUGCUGGGCUGACACUGACGCUGAUGCGCGAAAGCCAGGGGAGCAAACGGG
rnacentral:rRNA from 1 species